ensembl:misc_RNA 7SK 7SK RNA
GGAUGUUAGGGUUAUCUAGCUGUGACAUCUUUCACCCCACUGAUUGCCAGGAUUAAUUGGCUAAUCUGGCUGGCUAAGCAGGUGUUGCCUUCCUCUCUCACUAGUCAAUGUGUAUCCCCCGUGAAGCUGUGUACCUGGUCAAAUAGAAUGACUUUCCCCAAUGAAGGAGGACUUUUCUUUCAUCAAAAGUAUAUGAGUAGCUACUACCCCCUGCUAAAACCUCUCAAACAGCUCUCAAGGUCCAUUUGCAAGAGAAUGUAGCAUAGUAAAGCUUCCAAGACUCCAGACACAUCCAAAUGGGGCACUGCAUGUGGCAGUCUGCCUUUCUUU